rnacentral:rRNA from 1 species
GAUGAACGCUGGCGGCGUGCCUAAUACAUGCAAGUCGAGCGAACAGAUAAGGAGCUUGCUCCUUUGACGUUAGCGGCGGACGGGUGAGUAACACGUGGGUAACCUACCUAUAAGACUGGAAUAACUCCGGGAAACCGGGGCUAAUGCCGGAUAACAUUUAGAACCGCAUGGUUCUAAAGUGAAAGAUGGUUUUGCUAUCACUUAUAGAUGGACCCGCGCCGUAUUAGCUAGUUGGUAAGGUAACGGCUUACCAAGGCAACGAUACGUAGCCGACCUGAGAGGGUGAGCGGCCACACUGGAACUGAAGCACGGUCCAGACUCCUACGGGAGGCAGCAGUAGGGAAUCUUCCGCAAUGGGCGAAAGCCUGACGGAGCAACGCAGCGUGAGUGAUGAAGGUCUUCGGAUCGUGAAACUCUGUUAUUAGGGAAGAACAAAUGUGUAAGUAACUGUGCACGUCUUGACGGUACCUAAUCAAAAAGCCACGGCUAACUACGUG